rnacentral:piRNA from 1 species
UUGCCCCACAGAGACUAAAUUUGUACUGC